AAAUACUGCUAAGCAUAUCUGCAUUAUUAUUCCUUUACUUGGAGUUCCUGACAUUGUACUCACCAUUUUGUCAUUUUGGCCUAAUAUCCAUUUCUUGUAUGCUGAUAUGUUUUUCAGUUCAUUCCAGGGUUUCAUGUUAGCUGUGAGCUUGUGUUUAACGGAAAGAAAGGCUGUCAAAGAUUUUAAAAGCCUUGUUUUACCUUGUACAUCUUUAACAAGAAAAGUUUCUAGGUCAUCUUCUACUGGAGAAAACGCGAGUGUUAAUACAAGCAUUUACCAACUGAUGAAUCAUGGGAGCUCAACAGUGCCUAGUGUGUAAUGCACAAAAC